UACACGUUUUGAUAAUACGGUGCUCUCGCGAUAGAGCUGAAAAGGGAAUUUGCCAAAAAAUUUGCGCAAAGCUGUCCCCGCAACUGUAAACGAUGACGAAAUCUACGAGCCACUGCGCAUAAGCGGGAAGGGUAGAUGGAGGGUGAUUCGAGAGCCAGUAGACCUGCCGAUUAUCAAAUAGCACAC
rnacentral:ncRNA from 1 species